GUGCUCACUCCAGCAGCACAUAUACUAGAAUAGGAAUGAUACAGAGAGGAUUAGCAUGGCCCCUGUUCAAGGAUGACACGCAAAUUCGUGAAGCAGUUCAUAUUUUU
ensembl:snRNA U6 U6 spliceosomal RNA